GACCCGUUAGCUCAGGUGGUAGAGCAUUAGACUUUUAAUCUAAGGGCCGCAGGUUCGAGUCCUGCACGGGUCA
rnacentral:tRNA from 1 species